CACUCUCACAUUUAAGAGAGAAAGAAAAAUUGGUCGAAAAAUAAGAAAAAAGAAAAAGAAGAGGCAGUGCUACGUCAAAGA
rnacentral:ribozyme from 13 species